rnacentral:rRNA from 1 species
AGUGAACGCUGGCGGUAGGCCUAACACAUGCAAGUCGAACGGCAGCACAGUAAGAGCUUGCUCUUACGGGUGGCGAGUGGCGGACGGGUGAGGAAUACAUCGGAAUCUACUUUUUCGUGGGGGAUAACGUAGGGAAACUUACGCUAAUACCGCAUACGACCUACGGGUGAAAGCAGGGGAUCUUCGGACCUUGCGCGAUUGAAUGAGCCGAUGUCGGAUUAGCUAGUUGGCGGGGUAAAGGCCCACCAAGGCGACGAUCCGUAGCUGGUCUGAGAGGAUGAUCAGCCACACUGGAACUGAGACACGGUCCAGACUCCUACGGGAGGCAGCAGUGGGGAAUAUUGGACAAUAGGCGCAAGCCUGAUCCAGCCAUACCGCGUGGGUGAAGAAGGCCUUCGGGUUGUAAAGCCCCUUUGUUGGGAAAGAAAAGCAGCAGGUUAAUACCCCGCUGUUCUGACGGUACCCAAAGAAUAAGCACCGGCUAACUUCGUG